rnacentral:rRNA from 1 species
CAUCUAAGCGUGAAGCCCCCCUCAAGAUGAGAUUUCCCAGUAUGUAAGACCCCUUGAAGACGACGAGGUAGAUAGGCUGGGGGUGGAAGUGCAGCAAUGCAUGGAGCUGACCAGUACUAAUCGGUCGAGGGCUUAUCCAAGUU